GCCUGGGUGGCUCAGUCGGUUAAGCGUCUGACUUCGGCUCAGGUCAUGAUCUCGCAGUUUGUGAGUUCGAGCCCCACGUCGGGCU
rnacentral:tRNA from 1 species